rnacentral:rRNA from 1 species
UACGAAGGGGGCUAGCGUUGUUCGGAUUUACUGGGCGUAAAGCGCGUGUAGGUGGCUUUAUAAGUCAGGGGUGAAAGCCCAGAGCUUAACUCUGGAAUUGCCUUUGAUACUGUAGAGCUAGAGUCUUGGAGAGGAAAGCAGAAUUCCGAGUGUAGAGGUGAAAUUCGUAGAUAUUCGGAGGAACACCGGUGGCGAAGGCGGCUUUCUGGACAAGCACUGACACUGAGAAGCGAAAGCGUGGGGAGCAAACAGG